rnacentral:lncRNA from 1 species
UUUAUUUUAUUUUAGCAGUUCUGCAAAUAGAAAACAGGAAGAAAAAAACUUUUAUAAAUUAAAUAUAUGUAUGUAAAAAUGUGUUAUGUGCCAUAUGUAGCAAUUUUUUACAGUAUUUCAAAAAAACGAGAAAGAUAUCAAUGGUGCCUUUAUGUUAUGUUAUGUCGAGAGCAAGUUUUAUAAAGUUACGGUGGUUGCUUUUUCACAGUAUUUCAGCGAAACCUCCCAUAUAUUCAGUUUUUGCUGGCUUUUUGUGCAUUGCAUUAUGAUGUUGACUGGAUGUAUGGUUUGCAAGGCUAGCAGCUGUCCCUCUCUUUGCUUCCAGUAGCACCCAACCAGUACUGUCUUGAAAUGGCACAUCCAUCCAAAUACCUUUCUACUUUGUAUAAAGUUUCUUUGCUUUCCCAAUAUAAAAUGAGUUCUCUCUACUCUGUCAGCCAAAGGUUUGCUUCACUGGACUCUGAGAUAAUAGUAGACCCAACAGCAUGCUACUAUUACAUAUAGCAGGAAACUGCACCUAAGUAAUGUUAAAUAUUAGGGAGAAAGUAAUACUGUGAUUUUUAAAACAAACAAUAUUAUUAAUCAGAAGACAGCUUGCUCUUGCUAAAAGGAGCUACCAUUGACUCUAAUUUUAACUUUUUAGUUAUUGCUGUUCUUGAUAAAGAGUAACAGCUUUAAGUACAGCUUAGGAAAAUGGGUUCUGGCUUGCUAUCAGGAUAAAUCUAUCAACUUAGAAAGGACUCAACUUCACUUUCUCUCUUGGAGGAAAUGACCCAGCAGCUCAUCUGUUGACCAGCCAACCACAGCUGCUAAAGGUGCAAUCCUUUCUGACAUAUUUUUUAACUGACUGGUUGUACCCGCUUGUUGGCUCCAGAAGAGGCUCAGAGUGUCAUGAAGCCUCAGACCCAAGAGUACACUCAGCCAUCUGCCCCAACCACUUGUAUGAUGUACCUGUGGUACAUAGCAGUGACUUGGCCAUUGUUUCAUGCUAGAGCAUUUAGGAGUGAGUGUGUAGAAGUUACAAGGGGAAAGCAGCUGCACUACCCAGUGACAUUUUAACUUGGUUUGGUUGGCCACUCCUUUCUCCCCAUUAUGUUUCUCUUGUGUUCAACAUUGCCUUGAUUAGGUCAUAACUAUGCAUGAAUAUAUAAUUUUUUUUUGCCAGGAAUGGCCAAUGUGCAUGUGAUUUGUGAUUAGCAAGAACUUCCCGUAGUGGUGCCUCACUAGGGAGUGUCAAUAGCAUUGGGAAGAUUGCAGCUUUUCUUGCAGAAGUGACCCCCCCCCACUCAUGGACUGAUCUCUCUCCAUAAAUAGCCUGUAUCUUCCAUCUCUCUUCUCUAAGUAAUUUUCCCCAUACUGUCUCAAAAGCAGGACUAAGAUUGUUCUCUUGUGAUUGGAAAGCCAAUGGACACUUAUAGAUAUUAACAAAUGAACAACUGCUAAUCCAGAGGGGAAAAAAAAGAAAACUGUGGGGGUGGGGGUGGGGAAUAACCUUUCAGAACCCUGUGUAUUCUCUGCCUGUUAUCUGUCAAUCAAGACCGGAGCUUCUUGAGUUUCUUAGUAGGCUCUUAGGAGUUCCAUAGCAAAAUUGGGAAGGAGUUGAACAGAGGAUUGGCAAAGCCAAUGGCAAUGAUAGAUUCUUGUUCCCAGUUGAACCGAAUCUAUUUUCUUUACCGAGCUUUGUUAUAAGUCAAGGGAAGUAAUAACCCACAAGAAGGUCUUAGAAAAAACACUGCAGGCUGGCCACCAGUCCAUGUGUUACACUCCUCCAUAUUACUAAGAGAAGCUUGAGUGGAAACCCUUCAAGUUACUCGUAGUAUGUGCAGUCUCUCAUUUCUUGCCACUGGUCACAGGGCAGUUCUCUGUGUGUACAGUGAUUUUUAACUUUUGUUAUACACAGAGGAAUAAACCCCUGCAGGUGGAAGCCUAAUGCUGACUUCCCAGUGUUGCAGAGAGUGGUCAACUCCCCACAGGGAGGAAAAGUCAACAGGUUUGAGCAUGUUCUCUCAGCUCUCCAUGUUGCCUUUAAAGGUCAGAGUCACCCUAUCACUCAAUAGAGAAAUUUCUUUAUUGUUAUUUUAAAACUCUAAAAAAAAAAUCAGUUUCAAAUCUGUUAGUCACCAGGGUAUUAGGAAGGUCCCUUCUGAAAAACAGACUCCUCUGAUAACACUUUAAAUAUUUUUUUAAAGCAGCAUUUUACUAGCAUGAAAAGCUAUACAAUUUUUCAAAUCGCAAAUAUACGUGAUUUUUUUUCUUCUGUGCUUUAUCUGGUAAUCUACUAUUGCCAUGUUAGUUGAGAAAGCUUUUUUUUUUCCAAGAGAACACAGCUUUCCUUGAGGAGAACAGCCACGUGGCUGGUCAGGGCUAUCUGUUGUAGCCUCUGGAUUUAUAUGUCCAGGAACAUCUCUACAGUGCUUCACUGCCAGGUCUCUCUCAAGCAUCCUGUUUAUGAAUCCAGGCAGAGCUGUAAUAGGGCAAAAGAAUGCACACCUGUGGUCCUGGCAUGGGUGAAGAUGCCUUGUAUUUUAAGGGAGGACAAAUUACUCAGAAUUUAAUAACAACUAUGUUUCCUGGGUCUUAAAUCAAAAACUACUGAGAGUUAUAUAGUGGGGUAUAGUAGAUAGCAAACUCCUUUGUACUUACUCAAGAUUUGCUUUCUGCCCUGAUUUCCCCUCCAUUCAUCCCUCUACCCUCAAGAGUGCCUGGUGGACAGUCUUCUGCUAACUACAAAAUGGCCCUCUGUGUAAGAGAGAAUGUAUCUCAAGCAGCAAUAUGCCAUCUCUUUCUUGUGUCUGUGUGACUGUCAAUAUGGGUGGCGUCUAUCCAGGGUAACUUUCUCUGUAUGUAUUUCUCUUUUGGCCUGAAGUUGAAGGUAUAUGGCCCCUAUUCGUGAAUAAGGAAGAUCUGGCCUUCCCUUUUAGUCCUGGCUGCAUUUCCAGCAGCUGCCAAGAUUUCUAUCCACUAAGAUCCAUGAAACACUAUGAAGAAAUGCAGACAAAAGGAAAUGGCCACACAUCACAAUUUCUAUUAUAUAUUCUUUUGUAAAUACACAUUGUAUAGUACUUAGAUGUUUUCUUAAGUCAUUUACUGUCUUUAUGAGUUAAUGUUAGUUUUUACUCUCUAAACUUACUGUAUUACAUUGUAAAUAACAUAUUUUCCUUUAUUAUUUAUAUUUAAACAUCUAACAUAGAGAAUUGUUUUCAUAUAAGUUUAAGAUAAAUGUUUAAAAU